AACACGAUCAACUCUAGCUAAGAGUUGGGAUUGGCCUUAUGUGCAGUACUGCGUAUUUGGCUUGAAUGUAUUUAGUUGAUGGGCUCCCCAACGAUGCUCAAUGUGUGCUAGCGAGACAGUCGUCCCGAUCUCACAUUAUAGUAUUGUUGCAGAGUUCUGAGCACAAUUCGCUAAACUCAUAAAUCAA
rnacentral:misc_RNA from 1 species